rnacentral:lncRNA from 1 species
CCGUUUGGAUCCCUUCAUUCGAAGGAAUUGGAAUCUACUUAAUGGAGUAAACUAAUUUAUCUUGGAACGUGGCAUUCCACAACCUUCCAAAGUUUAGAUAUAAGCCUAUCUUAAAUUCAUAGGGUGUGAGAUGGAAAUCGAUUCUAUAGAUUAUGAUUAUUAGAAUGGAAUUCAAUUCUUAUAGCACGCUCUUGAACUCGCUUCCCUAUAGUAGAAGUGCAGCACAUAAGUAUCUCUCCCAUAUCACCAACAAUAAUAUACUAAUAUAUUCCACAUACAAUUAUAUUAGCUUAAUUAAUUUGUGUCUAAAUUAUGAUUAUUAGAAUGGAAUUCAAUUCCAAUGAUCCAAACGGGACCU